rnacentral:rRNA from 1 species
CCCUUAGAGUUUGAUCCUGGCUCAGGACGAACGCUGGCGGCGUGCUUAACACAUGCAAGUCGAACGAAGAGCGAUGGAAGCUUGCUUCUAUCAAUCUUAGUGGCGAACGGGUGAGUAACGCGUAAUCAACCUGCCCUUCAGAGGGGGACAACAGUUGGAAACGACUGCUAAUACCGCAUACGAUCCAAUCUCGGCAUCGAGGAUGGAUGAAAGGUGGCCUCUAUUUAUAAGCUAUCACUGAAGGAGGGGAUUGCGUCUGAUUAGCUAGUUGGAGGGGUAACGGCCCACCAAGGCGAUGAUCAGUAGCCGGUCUGAGAGGAUGAACGGCCACAUUGGGACUGAGACACGGCCCAGACUCCUACGGGAGGCAGCAGUGGGGAAUCUUCCGCAAUGGACGAAAGUCUGACGGAGCAACGCCGCGUGAGUGAUGACGGCCUUCGGGUUGAAAGCUCUGUUAAUCGGGACGAAAGGCCUUCUUGCGAAUAGUUAGAA